rnacentral:lncRNA from 1 species
UUUGGAAGCACAAAUCAGCAGUCACAACCAGCUUUCGGGAAUAGUUUAUUUGGUUCCACACCUUUUGGUGCACCAACUCAGUCUGCCUUUGGCGCUACAAGUACUCCUGCCUUUGGCGCUACAAGUACUCCAGCCUUUGGCGCUACAAGCACACCACCACCCUUUGGUUCCACAAACACCACUCAAGCCUUUGGCGCCACAAGCACCACUCCAGCCUUUGGCUCCACAAGCACCACUCCAGCCUUUGGCUCCACGAGCACUGCCCCAGCCUUUGGUGC